CUUAUUAUAUAUAUCGGCGCAAGCAGCUUCAACGACGGAUGCAACAUGGAAAUAACUGGCACCAAUUAUUAUAACACCUUAUUGGUCGUCGUUACUAUUGUUAAAAGGACUGCAGAGUUCAGCGAGUGCGGAGCAUAAAGAACCUUCGAGAAAUACAAGAACAUUUAGAAGAAUUGAAGUUUCAUUCUAAAAUAUCUGGAACUUACUGAAACAAGUGACAUUAGAGACGUCAGCGAGGCUGGCGUCCUGUCUUUAAAAUAAUGAAUUUAUAAUAAAAUCCGAUAUCAGAAGUGGGAUCGCUCCUGUGAUCAGUUACUGCCGGUCUUAGUGUAUUUGUAAAUCCUGAUCCAGCUCAAGAAAAUAAUCAUCCGGAGAACUUGCGUAAUGAAGAACGCUCCUCAGUCUUUCAUGCAAAUGAUGUCAACAAAGCAGAGCGUGACCGAACGUUUGCUACUAAAAAAAAAACAAGGGAUACGAUUAAAAUUACUAACAAGAUCAUAUUAAUUUUAUCAUCUUUUGAUCCCGGUGAUAGUGUGUGUGUUCGGGAUUGAUUCAAACGCAUCUUUACGGCUGUAAAUACGUACCAAAUCAGUAACUACGACAUUAGAAUUAAAGUCUUUUAAAGGAGCGAGCUAGAAAGUGUGCAGACGAUUGGUUAGUUGCAACAUCUACACAAGAGGCAUUACGUGAGACCAUAGCUAACAUUUGUUAUUAUCCUUUGAGCUAACCUCGUGUCCAUGAUGUAUUCUGAAGAGAACCAUGAGAUUCUGUAGGGAAGGCUUGUGGUACCGUGACAAGACAAUUAUACACCACAGAUCUGGAGAGCGUGAUCUCUGAGCUAGUCGCGUGUUACCCUUGAGCUAACCACGGGUCCUUGAUGUAUCCAUAAGAGAACCAUGAGAUUCCGUAGGGAUGCCUUGUGGAGCCGUGAGAAGACAAGUCUACACCACAGAUGUGGAGAGCGUACCUCUGAACUAAUCGCGUGUUACUCUUGAGCCAACCACAGGUCCUUGCUGUAUCCUUAAGAAUACCAUGAGAUGACGUAGGGAGGCCUUGGGAAGACUUGAGUAGAAAGGUACUCACUCGAUUUAUAAGAACUUGCAUGAUUUUAAUAUCAAACUACUAAGACCAUUGCUUUAUUUAAAUACGACAAUAGACAUACUCUUCACAGUAAUAUUUGCAACAUGUCUGGUUAACACACGGCAGUGCCUCUACAAAAACGAUGCUGUAAUUCAAACGAAAGCAUACUCGACUCCAAAAUCCUGAUCAAAUACAUCUAUUGCGAAUAUAACUAAUUUCUGUUCCUUUUCUGCUAACCGUGAUCAUGCGUUUGAAUCGUGUUUCCGACGGGAAUAAGGAGAUCACGCCGAAUUUUAAUUUAAUACCAACUGGUAAAUGUACUCUUAAAUAAAAUGCAAGAUCGCAGUGGUGCGUUAUACAAGAAUCAAUUGCAAAUGAUAUCUCUGGGUGUAGAAAACAAAUCAUAAACUAUUUGCGUGGAUUGAGAUCGGACCUUACUAUCUCAAUGAAUAGUUAAAUAGUUAUUAAUGUAGAAAUAAUUUUCUAUAGUUCCAGGUUUUGAAACGACUACUGAUAUAUUAACCGGAGCAGAUUUAUAACGUGAUAAGAAUACAUGUGGAAAAUUUAGUAUCCUUGCCGAUGUUUUGCACAUACGAACAAGUCAAUUAUGCUUUGACAGUUUAGAUUACAAUUCAACAAUCAGUCCGUUUAAAUCGAAGUAAUGCACCAACACAUUCAAAACAGGAUGGUCGAGGCGGAGAGAAGAUACAAAGCUAGGUUUUUGAGAGGUCGAGCUACGAUUAAAAGAUUCCAGAAGGGAGAUAUUGUAAUAAUAAAAAUAUAA